AGCGAACGCUGGCGGCAGGCCUAACACAUGCAAGUCGAACGAGCCUUCGGGCUAGUGGCGGACGGGUGAGUAACACGUGGGAACGUACCUUUAGGUUCGGAAUAACUCAGGGAAACUUGAGCUAAUACCGAAUGUGCCCUUCGGGGGAAAGAUUUAUCGCCUUUAGAGCGGCCCGCGUUAGAUUAGCUAGUUGGUGAGGU
rnacentral:rRNA from 1 species